rfam:Oryza sativa (indica cultivar-group) chromosome 2, whole genome shotgun sequence.
AAUAAGUGUAGUUUUGUACUAUUCAUGUUUAACGUUUGACUGUUCGUCUUAUUUGAAAAUUUAAUUUUUUAUGAUUAAUAUUUUUAUUAUGAUAAAAUAUGAAUAGUACUUUAUGUGUGACUAAAUAUUUUUAAAUUUUUCACAAAUUUUUCAAAUAAGAUGAACAGUUAAAUGUUGGACACGGAUAUCCAUGACUGUAUUUAUU